rnacentral:lncRNA from 1 species
GCCACAUCCUUCUGUAGCUGGCUCUUGCACGCCAGCAGGUGUGCCCGCUCCUGCUGCUGCUGUUCUGUCUCUGAGCGGAUCUCUGCCAGCUCUGCCUCCAGCCUGCCCACCACGGCACCCAGGUUCUGCAGUUCCAUGUCAUGCCAGUGCUGGGCGUCGUGCAAGCUGUUUUCCAGGCCUCGUUUCUACAAAAGAGUGAAGGUUAUCGGCUUGGGCGGUCCAGGUUGCUAGCUUUCGGAUCAUGACUCCUGCAUUGGUACCUCCGGCGCAGAUGUCUACGUUGGCUAUGGGUGCUUCGGCUGGGGAAGCUGGGAGAAGAUGCACCCCAGACUUCCCUUUCUGUCAUCGCGGCCAUGGAUGGAUAGAGUCCCGGCUUUUACACCUCCUGUGAAGCUUUCACACCCACACUGCCUUUUCUCCCCCAACACUGUGGCCUGGGAUUGGAUGUUUAUCACCCAAGUGUAUGUCUGUCACAUGUGUGCAGAAGCCCACAGAGGUCAGAAGAGGCAUUGGAACCCCUGGAACUGAAGUCACAGACGUUGUGAGCUGCCAUGUGGGUGCUAGAAACAGAAUCUGGGUCCUCUGUAAGAGCAGCCUUUGGAAGCAGUGAGGAGCCAUUGAGUUUGGCUUUGCUGCCAAGUAGCAGACAUGAGAAGCUCGGGGCAGGCAAAUGUCAGCCCCCGAGGGCACAGCCACAGCCGACAAGCUAUUUAUUGCAGGAAUCCUGGCUGUCAGUUCUGAUCCCUGUUGACAAUCAGAGGAAUUCACUCGUUCUGCAAAUAUUUUCUGAGUUCUGCGUCGCUGCAAGAGGCCCAGGCAGCGCUGGCCAAAUGAAAACAAAUCCUGUCUGUCUUCCAUGAGAGGUGGCCUUCAGAUCGCUCUAUUAAAAACACUAAUGAAUCUGUUCAGAA